rnacentral:rRNA from 1 species
AUACGGAGGAUCCGAGCGUUAUCCGGAUUUAUUGGGUUUAAAGGGUGCGCAGGCGGGAUGUUAAGUCGGCGGUGAAAUUUUGCGGCUCAAAUGUAAAAGGGCCUUCGAUACUGGCUUUCUUGAGUGGGGAUGAAGUAGGCGGAAAUUGUGGGGUAGAGGGGAAAUGCUUAGAUAUCACGAGGAACUCCGAUUGCGCAGGCAGCUUACUAAACCACUACUGACGCUCAUGCACGAAGGCGUGGGGAUCAAACAGGAUUAGAUACCCUGGUAGUCCACGCAGUAAACGAUGAUUACUAGUUGUUUGCGAUACAAUGUAAGCGACUGAGCGAAAGCGUUAAGUAAUCCACCUGGGGAGUACGUUCGCAAGAAUGAAACUCAAAUGAAUCGACGGAG